rnacentral:rRNA from 1 species
CCUACAGGAGACAGCAGUGAGGAAUAUUGGUCAAUGGGCGCGAGCCUGAACCAGCCAAGUAGCGUGAGGGAUGAUUGCCCUACGGGUUGUAAACCUCUUUUAUAAAGGAGUAAAGUGAGGCACGUGUCCCUUUUUGUAUGUACUUUAUGAAUAAGGAUCGGCUAAAUCCGUGCCAGCAGCCGGGGUAAUACGGAGGAUCCGAGCGUUAUCCGGAUUUUUUGGGGUUAAAGGGAUCGUAGAUGGGUUGUUAAGUCAGUUGUGAAAGAUUGCGGCUCAACCGUAAAAUUGCAAUUGAUACUGGCGGUCUUGAGUACGGUAGAGGAAGGCGGAAUGCGUGGUGUAGCGGUGAAAUGCAUAGAUAUCACGAAGAACUCCGAUUGCGAAGGCAGCCUACUAACCCGCCACUGACACUGAUGCACGAAAGUGCGGGGAUCGAACAGGAUUAGAUACCCGAGUAGUC